GUGACCUGCGGAAGGAUCAUUU
rnacentral:rRNA from 1 species